rnacentral:tRNA from 1 species
AAGAUUUUAAGUUAAAUUUAUAAACUUUAAACCUUCAAAGUUUACAAUAAAAUUUUUAAAAUUUUUAAAUCUUA